rnacentral:misc_RNA from 1 species
AACUGAUACUACCUGCGGGAACCUGCGGAGGGAUCAUUAUUGAAUAACUUGACAGGUUGUAGCUGGCUUUUAGGAGCAUGUGCACACCUGUUUUGAUUAUAUUUAUCCACCUGUGCACUUUCAGUAGGCUUUUUGGGGCUGAGACUGGGUUAAAUUGUCAGUUGAAAGACUGGAUGAGAGGAAUUGUAUGCACUGUGUAGUGUUGCUUUCUUCAGUAAUUAACCUUUAAUCAUCUCCCCU